rnacentral:rRNA from 1 species
CCUACGGGGGGCUGCAGUGAGGAAUAUUGGUCAAUGGACGAGAGUCUGAACCAGCCAAGUAGCGUGAAGGAUGACUGCCCUAUGGGUUGUAAACUUCUUUUAUAUGGGAAUAAAAUGUUCCACGUGUGGGAUUUUGUAUGUACCAUAUGAAUAAGGAUCGGCUAACUCCGUGCCAGCAGCCGCGGUAAUACGGAGGAUCCGAGCGUUAUCCGGAUUUAUUGGGUUUAAAGGGAGCGUAGGUGGAUUGUUAAGUCAGUUGUGAAAGUUUGCGGCUCAACCGUAAAAUUGUAGUUGAAACUGGCAGUCUUGAGUACAGUAGCGGUGGGCGGAAUUCGUGGUGUAGCGGUGAAAUGCUUAGAUAUCACGAAGAACUCCGAUUGCGAAGGCAGUUCACUGGACUGCAACUGACACUGAGGCUCGAAAGUGUGGGUAUCAAACAGGAUUAGAUACCCUUGUAGUC